CCUCCACAUCCUGGGUGGUAGGUUAGUCCUGUGAAUGUUAUUCGUUUCAAUAAUAUUGGCAUCUGGGAUCAGAGAUCAAGGAUUUGAUUGGGUUUGAAUCGUCACAAAUUUUCAUUCUUCAAAAUGUCCCGACAAACUUAAAUGGCAGAUCUGACAAUAAUGGAAGCUGUUACACAUUGACUGAGUUUUUCCUUCUUUAAGGUGUGAUUUAAAAACGUUGACACUUUGUUUACAGACAGCGACGCUGGGAAUAAGCCGGAUGGCCAAUCAGAAGCCGAUCACUGGCGAGGACCCGCCCCUGCAGUGGAGGAAAAGUCAAGGGAGGAAGAGUUUGAUGAGUACUUUGAAGACAUGUUCCUUUGAAUCUGCUGGURUCUGUGGGAACCCUGCUGUGACUACACUUCCUUUUAUGUCUCGCAGACAUUAAGUAUGUUCUAUUUGGGUCUUGUGUGCAUGAAAUAAACAUAAUGUUUAUCCUGC